UACGUAGGCAGCGAGCGUUGUUCGGAAUUACUGGGCGUAAAGAGUGUGUAGGCGGUGCUCUAAGUUCGGUGUGAAAUCUCCCGGCUUAACUGGGAGGGUGCGCCGGAAACUGGAGUGCUCGAGCGUGGGAGAGGAAAGCGGAAUUCCUGGUGUAGCGGUGAAAUGCGUAGAUAUCAGGAGGAACACCUGCGGUGUAGGCGGCUUGCUGGACCAUGGCUGACGCUGAGACACGAAAGCGUGGGUAGCAAACAGG
rnacentral:rRNA from 1 species